rnacentral:rRNA from 1 species
UACGGGGGGGGCAAGCGUUGUUCGGAAUUACUGGGCGUAAAGGGCUCGUAGGUGGCCAACUAAGUCAGACGUGAAAUCCCUCGGCUUAACCGGGGAACUGCGUCUGAUACUGGAUGGCUUGAGUUCGGGAGAGGGAUGCGGAAUUCCGGGUGUAGCGGUGAAAUGCGUAGAUAUCUGGAGGAACACCGGUGGCGAAGGCGGCAUCCUGGACCGACACUGACGCUGAGGAGCGAAAGCCAGGGGAGCAAACGGG